CCCCUUCCUCAGCUCCCAGCACUACCGCCGUCCGACUACAUCCGGGAAACUCGGACGCCGCCGCCUUCGCUUAACGUCGGCUGUUGUCGGCUCUUUCCGCCAAACUCCGCCCAUUCCGUCCACUUUAUGGGGAAAAUACACACACCCUCUUAUUAGGUAUAUGUCCCGCCUUCCUCCGUUCUGGAUUCCGAGAUCCUCUCAUUCGGGAAACAUCGGUGAUUUCCGUCUCAUCCGGAAAACCUUCGUCGUGCAUUUAUUUAUUUAUUUAGAAAAUUUCUAGGCCGCCCCAUUCGCCGAAGCCUCGGGGCGGCUUACAAAUAAAUAAAUUAAAAUACAUAAAUAACAAUAUAAAAUACAUGUAAAGCCUACGGCUUCCCAUCAAUCCACGGUUCGGAGACUCCAGUUUCGGAAAUCAUCGGCGGCUUCCGUCAAGUCUGCAAUCUUCGUUUUUAGACAACAGCGACUCUCCGUCACCGGUCCAACCCUUGUUAUCUCCGAUUAAAAAAGACAUCGGAUUUUUCCGAAAAGAGGAACCCAGAGCGUGGCCACCAUCGACUAUUUUCGUGACACCCCCCCUUCCCCCCCCCCCAGGCCCUCUGAAAAGCUGCUCGUUUGGCGGAAUUACUCUAGCUCACUGAUUGGCUUAAAUCGCUUUUCUUUCGGUUCGGCAUUUGCUGAAAGGUGUUUUCCGCAGUGGAUGGAGAGCCGGAGUGCAUCUUAUUCCUGACAGUGCUAAGGAACAUUUUGAAAGAGCAUUGUCUCUCUGGCAAACCCUUGUGGACCUGAACAAUACAGGUGGAUUAAUGUUUCACUGAUGAAUAAUAAAACUCCAGUGACUGGAUCAAAAGCAGCAAGUUCAAAUAAGCUUUCUUGGAAGAGUACUGUCAUUGUUUGGAGCUUGUUUUGAAAAGGAUAGAACUAUAUCAAGACAAUCAUGCUGUUUGGGUUUUUUUACAGCUCAAUACUUUGUCCUAUUUGAGAGACAAAUAUAAUGGAUAUAUUUAUUUGCAGACAAAAAUAAAGGAGGCAAUUAAAAGUUCGCAUACUGUGAUACCUUGGGCACUCAGCAGUUCCAGCCUAAUCUAAUGCAUUAAAGGAAAAUUCUGCUUGUAGCAGCUUGGAAACUGCCUGCUUCAGCUUGAGCAUCAACCCGAACUGAGCUUCAGAAAUCCAAGAAUUCCUGUCUCACGUUGAUUAGAACGGGAACUCAAAAGUGUACAUAACUUGGUCAAAUAUUUUGUAUGCAUAUGAAUUAUGCCUGUCAAAUGUCUGGUAAAUAAGUGUAGAGAUGGUUGUGUUCUGUGCCUUAAUUUUGGGGGGAGGAGUAUGGGAACUGGUGAAGUCUUUUAUUACUAGGCAGAAAUUGACAAUAUUUGCAAGGA